UUUGACUAUCUUGUUUGCACUUGACUUGUUAGCUU
rnacentral:SRP_RNA from 1 species